CCUACCUUAGGGACGUUACAAAUGGUAUCAGAGCUUUGAGUUUGUAGAUGUCGUAUACUCGUUAUGUUAUUAAAUUUUGGGAUCCGAAAUGCUACUGAGUUCCGCCACAAGACAAGCCACACAUUAAUGGGCAAGAAGUCGGUUUUGACAACGAAAGGGUUUCACAGAGACUUGGUUUUAAAGAAUAAUCUUCAUCGGCUAUAUAAUUGUUUUCUAGUUAUCCAAUUUU